ACGCUGGCGGCAGGCCUACACAUGCAAGUCGAGCGGAUGACGGGAGCUUGCUCCUUGAUUAGCGGCGGACGGGUGAGUAAUGCCUAGGAAUCUGCCUGGUAGUGGGGGACAACGUUUCGAAAGGAACGCUAAUACCGCAUACGUCCUACGGGAGAAAGCAGGGGACCUUCGGGCCUUGCGCUAUCAGAUGAGCCUAGGUCGGAUUAGCUAGUUGGUGGGGUAAUGGCUCACCAAGGCGACGAUCCGUAACUGGUCUGAGAGGAUGAUCAGUCACACUGGAACUGAGACACGGUCCAGACUCCUACGGGAGGCAGCAGUGGGGAAUAUUGGACAAUGGGCGAAAGCCUGAUCCAGCCAUGCCGCGUGUGUGAAGAAGGUCUUCGGAUUGUAAAGCACUUUAAGUUGGGAGGAAGGGCAGUAAGCGAAUACCUUGCUGUUUUGACGUUACCGACAGAAUAAGCACCGGCUAACUCUGUGCCAGCAGCCGCGGUAAUACAGAGGGUGCAAGCGUUAAUCGGAAUUACUGGGCGUAAAGCGCGCGUAGGUGGUUCCGUUAAAGUUGGAUUGUGA
rnacentral:rRNA from 1 species